rnacentral:rRNA from 1 species
ACACCGGCAGCCCAAGUGGUGGCCAUUUUUAUUGGGCCUAAAGCGUUCGUAGCCGGCCUGAUAAGUCUCUGGUGAAAUCCCGCAGCUUAACUGUGGGAAUUGCUGGAGAUACUAUCAGGCUUGAGGUCGGGAGAGGUUAGAGGUACUCCCAGGGUAGGGGUGAAAUCCUAUAAUCCUGGGAGGACCACCUGUGGCGAAGGCGUCUAACUGGAACGAACCUGACGGUGAGGAACGAAAGCCAGGGGCGCGAACCGGAUUAGAUACCCGGGUAGUCCUGGCCGUAAACGAUGUGGACUUGGUGUUGGGAUGGCCUCGAGCUGCCCCAGUGCCGAAGGGAAGCGGUUAAGUCCACCGCCUGGGAAGUACGGUCGCAAGACUGAAACUUAAAGGAAUUGACGGGG